AUCUUUUUUAACUCAUUGGUGACCUAUAUUUUUUAUUAUUGUUUUCAUAUAAGCUGUACAUAAACUAAAUAAUUGUAAAAGUUAAGCGAUUUAUGUAAUUAGGUUAUUUUUUUAUUUCGAUAUUACCUUUAUUUCUCCUAUUAGUUCAACAGAAAAAAAGGGACAUUAACAAAAAUGUAUGCUUCUUCCGGAGGCUGAUUGUGAGCUUAAAUGAACGGUGACCCCAUUUUUUUAUUUCAUUUUUCUUUUAAGUAUAUGAUAAAGUUCAUUAAUAAAAAAAUAUAGCGAAAUCCUAUAUUAGAAAAAAAAAUUUGAUUUAUACCCAGGAGCCCCCUUAAAACUUAGAAAUUUAAUGAAUUGCUUGAUCAUUUGGAAGAAUCAAAAUUGUAGAGAUUUAAAUACAUACUAUGGAGUGCCUUUUUUCUGGAACAUUCUUUACACGUUUUACCCGGUACAGUGUUUAUUUAUUAAUCAGGAUUAAUUGUGAAAAUGAUUAUUCUCACUGUAAAUAAAUGUAAACAUUUGAUAAAAGUACAUAUUUUACAUUUAUUGUGACACUUUUUUAUCUUGGUAAGUCUGUGCCAUAGCUGUAUAUUUGGCGCUUAGUUCAUCUUGUUAUUUCAUACUGUACAUGUAUAUCAUAUUUUUGAGUUCCCAUAUUGUUCUACUUCCUGAUUGCCAAACAUUAUAUCUCUAGCCAGUGUAUAACUUGUGAGUAAAAGCUCACAGAACAUCUUGUUUAUUUAUUUUAACAAUUUUUAGUUGUGUUGUAAAAUAUUUUUUUUAAUGUAUUCUGAUUACAAGGGAUAACGUUCAAAAUCAAAUAUAUUAUUAUUAUUUGAAUUUUAUGUCCAUCAAAUCUUGUAAACACACUUUCAAAAUUUGGCAAAAUUUAAAAAAGAAAGACAGACUUUUCUCUUCAACCAAUUAAUCAUCAUGUGAACACUUGGUAGCUUAUUGUUGGUUGUUAGUUAAAAGCAAAUAAUAUCUCACUUCAGAUUAAAGUUUUUGGUCAAGGUAGUUUUUAAAGAAAUUGAAGUUCAAUCAACUUGAAACGUAAAAUUGAGAAUGGAAAUGGGGAAUGUGUCAAAGAGCCAAAAACCCAACCAUAGAACAGACAACAGCAAAAGGUCACCAACAGGUCUUCAAUGCAGCGAGAAAUUCUCGACCCAGGAGGCGUCCUUCAGCUGGCCCCAUAACAAAUAUAUAUACCAUUUCAGUGAUAAUGAACGCCAUACUAAUCUCCAAAUUGUACACAAGAAACUAAAAUUAAAAAUAAUACAAGACUAACAAAGGCCAGAGGCUCCUGACUUGGGACAGGUACAAAAUUGCAGCAGGGUUAAAUAUGUUUAUGAGAUCUCAACCCUCCCCUAUACCUCUAGCUAAUGUAGAAAAGUAAAUGCAUAACAAUACACACACUAAAAUUCAGUUCAAGAGAAGUCUGAGUCUGAUGUCAGAAGUAGUACACAUGUUCCCUAUGAUAUGACCUUUCUUAUUUUCAAACUUCAAAUUAAGGCCACGGUUUUUUAAUUUGUUGGUUUACGGAUUUUCUCCAUGAAAAAGUCGGGUCGGUCGGUCGGGAAAAAAAUAAAAAAAAUACCUUUCAAGACAGAAAACUGAUAUGCAAAAUAAAUAUAUAUUUCACCUUUCUAAUAAUAUGUUUGUUAUCCUAUUUUGUCAUCAUUUCUUAAAUUUUAGUUUAAUGAAAUAUUAUUGCUCAGUUGUAAUAAAAAUUGCAUGACAUUGCCUAAUAAUUUCCCGUAAAAAAGGGGGUGCACGGACAAAGACGUAAUUAAAUUUCAUAAAGGAAGACAAAUUCACAUAGCUCUUAAUCAAUUCCAGAAAACUUGGUGAAUAAUGAUCUUCAAGAACGAAAACUGAUAAAGAAAUAAAUGUAAAAGCGUGGUAAGAAAAUAAUUUUCAACACACGCGUCAAAAACGUAAUAGACUCGUCCACUGGAAAAAA
rnacentral:lncRNA from 1 species